rnacentral:rRNA from 6 species
GCCACACUGGGACUGAGACACGGCCCAGACUCCUACGGGAGGCAGCAGUGGGGAAUAUUGCACAAUGGGCGCAAGCCUGAUGCAGCGACGCCGCGUGAGGGAUGAAGGCCUUCGGGUUGUAAACCUCUUUCAGCAGGGAAGAAGCGCAAGUGACGGUACCUGCAGAAGAAGCGCCGGCUAACUACGUGCCAGCAGCCGCGGUAAUACGUAGGGCGCAAGCGUUGUCCGGAAUUAUUGGGCGUAAAGAGCUCGUAGGCGGUUUGUCGCGUCUGGUGUGAAAACUCAAGGCUCAACCUUGAGCUUGCAUCGGGUACGGGCAGACUAGAGUGCGGUAGGGGUGACUGGAAUUCCUGGUGUAGCGGUGGAAUGCGCAGAUAUCAGGAGGAACACCGAUGGCGAAGGCAGGUCACUGGGCCGCAACUGACGCUGAGGAGCGAAAGCAUGGGGAGCGAACAGGAUUAGAUACCCUGGUAGUCC